CCAAUUUGAUGGACCAAUCGAUAUCGGAUUGAGUCCAAAACUUGGGGAUCAUGAUAAUACGGUGGGAGGAGUCAUUUGGGGGGUUUUGAGUGAAAUCCAAUCUCUACAACUAUGCAAUACACCAACCACUCCAUUUCAUAACGAACUUCGUACGAACAUGAAUUGUCCAAUUUCAUGGACCAAUCGACAUCGGAUUGAGUCCAAAACUUGGGAAACAUCAUAAUAUGAUGGGAGGAGUCAUUUGGUGUCUUUUGACUGAAAUCCAUUGGCUAAAACUAUGCAAUACACCAA
rnacentral:lncRNA from 1 species